CAGUCGCCGCGGUAAUACGGAGGGGGCUAGCGUUGUUCGGAAUUACUGGGCGUAAAGCGCACGUAGGCUGCUUUGUAAGUCAGAGGCGAAAGCCCGGGGCUCAACCCCGGAUGUGCCUUUGAGACUGCAGGGCUAGAACGUCGGAGAGGUGAGUGGAAUUCCGAGUGUAGAGGUGAAAUUCGUAGAUAUUCGGAAGAGCACCAGUGGCGAAGGCGGCUCACUGGACGACUGUUGACGCUGAGGUGCGAAAGCGUGGGGAGCAAACAGGAUUAGAUACCCGGGUAGUCCCUGUCUCUUAUAC
rnacentral:rRNA from 1 species